GAAUUUUGGACAAUGGGCGAAAGCCUGAUCCAGCCAUGCCGCGUGCGGGAAGAAGGCCUUCGGGUUGUAAACCGCUUUUGUCAGGGAAGAAACGCUCCGAGCUAAUACCUCGGGGUAAUGACGGUACCUGAAGAAUACGCACCGGCUAGCUACGUGCCAGCAGCCGCGGUAAUACGUAGGGUGCAAGCGUUAAUCGGAAUUACUGGGCGUAAAGCGUGCGCAGGCGGUUGUGCAAGACAGAUGUGAAAUCCCCGGGCUCAACCUGGGAACUGCAUUUGUGACUGUAUAGCUGGAGUACGGUAGAGGGGGAUGGAAUUCCGCGUGUAGCAGUGAAAUGCGUAGAUAUGCGGAGGAACACCGAUGGCGAAGGCAAUCCCCUGGACCUGUACUGACGCUCAUGCACGAAAGCGUGGGGAGCAAACAGG
rnacentral:rRNA from 1 species